UUUGAACAUAGUGUAUGGGAAGAUUAUUUAUGCAAUACUCUAAGAUGUGUGCUUCUCCAAGCUUAUUAACUGUGAUACUCUUACUACUUGGAAGGACUCAUGGAAAUUCAGUGACCCAGACACAAGGGCAAGUGAUGGUGCUGGAAGGGGCUUCCCUAAGGAUAAACUGCACUUACACAACCACAGAAUAUCCUUCUCUCUUCUGGUAUGUUCAGUAUCCCGGAGAAGGUCCACAACUCCUCCUGAAAGCCAUGACAGCCAAUGACAAAGGCAGCCACAAAGGAUUUACCGCCAGUUAUGACAGAGAAGCCACCUCCUUCCAUUUGGAGAAAACUGCUGUCCUGGAGUCAGACAUGGCUGUUUACUACUGUGCUCUAAGUGACACAGUGACAGAAACCACAGGGGAAGCUGAACACAAACUGAGCAUGACAGGUCCUAGCAGCUGA